CUAGCAUUCCCUCUCUUACUGCUAAACUCAACCCUGAGGCGAUGGGGCUGGGCCACGGUUCCCUUUUUCCCUGUGGUCACUGUUUGAUAAAAAUGGAAAGGAAGUAAAUGAAAGCUCAGCACAGAGGCUUACGGUGUAGACAGGACAUCUCAGCUCUGUGAGAUGCUGCUGGAGUGGGGAGGCCGCACCUUUCAGCCUUGGGUGUGCUGGAUCAGGCCGCUGGCUCCUGGCUCCAGCCGAUUGUGAAAGCUGCAGCUACUACAGUUAUUUUGUUUCUUCUGGCUACAGUUUCUCCUGAAAAGGGGUUCACAUUCCCUACUAGGGAUGCUGCACUGAAACCAUAGUUUGGGUGAGGCGAGUGAAACCAGGGUGUGUAAGGAGGUCAGAUUCUUGCUUUAGUGUUGGUAUUUUGCUCAUGAAUUUUUUUUGCAUUAAUUUUAACUUUUGAAAUAAUGCAUUAAAAACUACCUGUUAAGAUUCCUGAGCUUUGUGUUUGGCUGCUCUUGAUUUUAUGCCUGAGCAAGAGCCUUGCUUGCCUAACCCUAAUCUAGGCCGGGGCUCGGUUCAGUCUCUGACCUUCACCACUAGGCAAGGUGGAACCCUGGGAGCUAUCGAAGGAGUCUUCAUUCUGCACCCCUCUCCCACCCAACAACGUCACCUCUCAUGGGAUCCAGGCUCUUCUCAUGUGCACUCCCAGUGGGACUCAGUAAAUGUUAAAUGACUGAAUGAAUAUAGAAGAGGACUUAAUAAUGCACUUCACAUGGGCAUGUGAAAAAAGUUCCAACCAGCUCCUCCUGCAUCAUCAAUGCCCGCCCUAAGCCCCAACCCCAGUUAGAAGUUAUAUGUAUCCCAUACCCCACGUUCUGGUCAAAGGAAGCCAGACCACCUUUGGUUGUGGAUUUCUCUCCAUGUCCUCAGAAUAAAGACUACUUUUUACUUUUAUAUUUUGCUCCUAUAUUGCGCUGAAAAUGCUAACAGUUGUGUAUUCAGCUAGCCCAAUCAAUGAUAUGUAACUUGCAGCAAACAGAUAUUUUCUAAGAACUGGUACUCUCUUCCUUGAAGGACCUUGAAGAUCCUUGAAGGGCCAAAUGAUAGAGUUAUUUCCAAAAGAUGAAAAAUAUUAACAAAAGAUGAGAAAUAUAAAAUAAAAAUCGGCCUUUAUUCUGAGAACACGGAGAGAGAUGACUGGCACCCCCAUCGCUGGCGUCCGGCAAUCUCUCCGGCGGACACGCGGCGUGGGGGCCUGUAAAUAGCCUCAGUUUGGGGUGGAACCUAAGGCGGGCAUUAGGGAUACACAGGUAGCCCAUUGGUCCUAGGUUUGGCGCCAUAUGUAAAUUCCCAGGGGCGGGAAGAUGGCGUCACAGGUAACUUCCUAGGGGCAGGGCAAGAUGGACUUCCUGCUUCCGGUUGUGGCUUUCCUGGCUACAGAGUCCUGUCUGGGCCAAAACAUUUCACCAAAUGAUUAUGAUAAUGCACACUUUAAUAAAAAGGAACAUGAACUAUGUUAGGAUGGCCUAAUAGGUUUUGAACUCAGGAACACUGCAUACAUUGUGAGUUUUCUCAAGUAAAAGGAAACGUUGGUGGAAAUUUGUUAUUCACUGUGUGUACUGCCAUCCCCUGAAUAGAUGAUCAGACUACCAACUUUAGACCUGCAAGGUCAGUGAAACACUAAACACAGCAAGCAUUAAAUUGUGUUUCACCUCAAAGUCAUCAUCGCAGCCCGUGUUUCUCAGAUCA